CGAACGCUGGCGGCGUGCUUAACACAUGCACGUCGAACGGAAAGGCCCUGCUUUUGUGGGGUGCUCGAGUGGCGAACGGGUGAGUAACACGUGAGUAACCUGCCCUUGACUUUGGGAUAACUUCAAGAAACUGGGGCUAAUACCGGAUAGGAGCUCCUGCUGCAUGGUGGGGGUUGGAAAGUUUCGGCGGUUGGGGAUGGACUCGCGGCUUAUCAGCUUGUUGGUGGGGUAGUGGCUUACCAAGGCUUUGACGGGUAGCCGGCCUGAGAGGGUGACCGGCCACAUUGGGACUGAGAUACGGCCCAGACUCCUACGGGAGGCAGCAGUGGGGAAUAUUGCACAAUGGGCGGAAGCCUGAUGCAGCAACGCCGCGUGCGGGAUGACGGCCUUCGGGUUGUAAACCGCUUUCGCCUGUGACGAAGCGUGAGUGACGGUAAUGGGUAAAGAAGCACCGGCUAACUACGUG
rnacentral:rRNA from 1 species